UACAGAGGGAGCUAGCGUUGUUCGGAAUUACUGGGCGUAAAGCGCACGUAGGCGGCUUUGUAAGUUAGAGGUGAAAGCCCAGAGCUCAACUCUGGAAUAGCCUUUAAGACUGCAUCGCUUGAAUCCAGGAGAGGUGAGUGGAAUUCCGAGUGUAGAGGUGAAAUUCGUAGAUAUUCGGAAGAACACCAGUGGCGAAGGCGGCUCACUGGACUGGUAUUGACGCUGAGGUGCGAAAGCGUGGGGAGCAAACAGG
rnacentral:rRNA from 1 species